rnacentral:rRNA from 1 species
CCUCCCACCCGUGUUUACUGUACCUUAGUUGCUUCGGCGGGCCCGCCAUUCAUGGCCGCCGGGGGCUCUCAGCCCCGGGCCCGCGCCCGCCGGAAACACCACGAACUCUGUCUGAUCUAGUGAAGUCUGAGUUGAUUGUAUCGCAAUCAGUUAAAACUUUCAACAAUGGAUCUCUUGGUUCCGGCAUCGAUGAAGAACGCAGCGAAAUGCGAUAACUAGUGUGAAUUGCAGAAUUCCGUGAAUCAUCGAGUCUUUGAACGCACAUUGCGCCCCCUGGUAUUCCGGGGGGCAUGCCUGUCCGAGCGUCAUUGCUGCCCAUCAAGCACGGCUUGUGUGUUGGGUCGUCGUCCCCUCUCCGGGGGGGACGGGCCCCAAAGGCAGCGGCGGCACCGCGUCCGAUCCUCGAGCGUAUGGGGCUUUGUCACCCGCUCUGUAGGCCCGGCCGGCGCUUGCCGAACGCAAAUCAAUCUUUUUCCAGGUUGACCUCGGAUCAGGUAGGGAUACCCGCUGAACUUAAGCAUAUCAAUAAGCGGAGGAA